rnacentral:tRNA from 2 species
GAGGUUAUGGCGGAAUUGGUAGACGCUGCGGACUUAAAAUCCGUUGGCUUUAUAGGCCGUGAGGGUUCAAGUCCCUCUAUCCUCA